UACGAAGGGGGCUAGCGUUGCUCGGAAUGACUGGGCGUAAAGGGCGCGUAGGCGGUUUGGACAGUCAGAUGUGAAAUUCCUGGGCUCAACCUGGGGGCUGCAUUUGAUACGUUCGGACUAGAGUGGGGAAGAGGGUCGUGGAAUUCCACGUGUAGCAGUGAAAUGCGUAGAGAUGUGGAGGAACACCGAUGGCGAAGGCAGCCCCCUGGGUCAACACUGACGCUCAUGCACGAAAGCGUGGGGAGCAAACAGG
rnacentral:rRNA from 1 species